UUCUUGCCACGCGUAAACGCUGUCCCGCGUGUCUCACUUUUUCACCAGCUGGAAAGUUCCCGGCAGCGGAGAAGCACGCCGCUUUGUCCACGACGAGAGUUCUUGCGGAAAUUUAUGGGCGCUGGUGUCAGGAUCGCGCGAAAAUUUUCACUUUUCGCGGCCGCCAACUUACCUACCGACAAGAUAUCCGUACGCUGUGCCGACAGAAGUUAGCCGACCGCGAAACUACGUGGAAACGUACAGCGCCCAUCGUUGCAAUUGUGCGUGAUCGUGCCUUUCGGCUUUUCCCCAUUCACCGCCUUGAAUUCCUAUUCUAAGCUUGUCAGGGUAGCACAAUGCUGGAGAAAUGUAACUGGUGGGGAAUUUUUCGGACGCAGCGAGGGCAUUCGAGAUGAACUGAAAAGGCAAAGACGAUGGGAUGGGAGGUAACAAUGGGAGACUGAAUAAAAUACUAACGCACUGAGUACUAGAGCUAGUAUUUAACGUCAAGCUUCGGCUAAGAGAUAGGAACUUGGUUCGGGCCUGGCUGGCCGGGCGGUUUCAAAGGACCGGAGCUACAUUUUCCAGUGAAAGGUACAAGGGGCGUUGCAAACAAGACAACACGGUGGAAAUCUACGUAUCCGUAGCGGAGAGUUUCCCAACGACGCCGACAUGCAUCACGGUAACUUGCCAGGGAAGGUCAUCAGAAGUUGAAGAGUGUCCGGCCGUGUGCAUUACAAAUUAGUGUCUUUGAACUAGUUCCGACCACUGUCAUAGACCACUCAUCCUCACGUCCCAUAUAUCCAAGCUGUUUGUCUCCAACCCGAAAUUUCAUUCAUAGCUUCCGGGCAAUCGCCUGUUCUAUCUUUCGUUGGUUUAAUCAGACUAACGACUUUCGAUGGACGCGAUCCCGUUGAAAUUGUUGGGAAUUUUAUCUUUAAAAACAGGGGGUUAAUGGAGAUCGAUGUCUCGUUGUUAUGAAUAAUAUGCAAUAGGAUGUACUAAUUGAAAUUAUACAAAUACAAGGCUAUAAAGACGAUGGAAAUUAAUAAUAUACGGUACAAAAGAAAAAUCUCGAUAUUACAUCGUUAGCUU